UGGGGAAUAUUGGACAAUGGGCGCAAGCCUGAUCCAGCCAUGCCGCGUGAGUGAAGAAGGCCUUAGGGUUGUAAAACUCUUUCGCCGGGGAAGAUAAUGACGGUACCCGGAGAAGAAGCUCCGGCUAACUUCGUGCCAGCAGCCGCGGUAAUACGAAGGGAGCUAGCGUUGUUCGGAAUUACUGGGCGUAAAGCGCACGUAGGCGGUGUGUCAAGUCAGUUGUGAAAUCUCCGAGCUUAACUCGGAACGGUCAACUGAUACUGUCACACUAGAGUACAGAAGGGGCAAUCGGAAUUCUUGGUGUAGCGGUGAAAUGCGUAGAUAUCAAGAGGAACACCUGAGGCGAAGGCGGGUUGCUGGGCUGAUACUGACGCUGAGGCGCGAAAGCAUGGGGAUCAAACAGGAUUAGAUACCCAAGUAGUCCCUGAGCGGGCUGGCAAGGCGCAU
rnacentral:rRNA from 1 species